UACGUAGGGGGCCAGCGUUGUCCGGAAUCAUUGGGCGUAAAGAGCGUGUAGGCGGCCACACAGGUCAGCUGUGAAAACUCGAGGCUCAACCUCGAGACGUCGGUUGAAACCGUAUGGCUAGAGUCCGGAAGAGGAGAGUGGAAUUCCCGGUGUAGCGGUGAAAUGCGCAGAUAUCGGGAAGAACACCCGUGGCGAAGGCGGCUCUCUGGGACGGUACUGACGCUGAGACGCGAAAGCGUGGGGAGCGAACAGG
rnacentral:rRNA from 1 species